rnacentral:rRNA from 1 species
AGCGAACGCUGGCGGCAGGCCUAACACAUGCAAGUCGAACGAACCUUUCGGGGUUAGUGGCGGACGGGUGAGUAACACGUGGGAACGUGCCUUUAGGUUCGGAAUAACUCAGGGAAACUUGUGCUAAUACCGAAUGUGCCCUUCGGGGGAAAGAUUUAUCGCCUUUAGAGCGGCCCGCGUCUGAUUAGCUAGUUGGUUGAGGUAAUGGCUCACCAAGGCGACGAUCAGUAGCUGGUCUGAGAGGAUGAUCAGCCACAUUGGGACUGAGACACGGCCCAAACUCCUACGGGAAGCAGCAGUGGGGAAUCUUGCGCAAUGGGCGAAAGCCUGACGCAGCCAUGCCGCGUGAAUGAUGAAGGCCUUAGGAUUGUAAAAUUCUUUCACCGGGGACGAUAAUGACGGUACCCGGAGAAGAAGCCCCGGCUAACUUCGUG